GGCUACUCCUGUGGAGUCAGGGCCUAGCCGGGCAGGGGCUGAGGGAACCGCCGGGUGUAUCUGCGAGCCAGAGACGCACAACCUGUGGGCAAAAGCAGAUUGUCUGUGAGAGCGUCUGGAAUGCGGAGGAUACAAGGCACCAAAGAAGGGUUUGUGGACUGUCGAACUGGGCUCACUGCCCUGGAAAUGUUGGAACCCUUCAUCAGCUGGCCGGAUGAGCUGUUUUCCUAAUACUCUGCAAGGGCUGUCAGAAGUAAGCACUCCGCAUGGGCUGAAAUGCAGGACGGUUUCUGGGUGCACGGACCCCCCCGGCCCCGAGGCUGCCCCUGCCUCGCAGCACCCUCGGGAUUGGCGCGGAAAAGUCUCGGACGCCACAGACGCUUCUCGGAGCAAGAGAUCGAGUUGGCCCGGGAAGGCCGAUGGCGGCAGGGAAACGGACAACGGACGGGGCGGUGCAGGAGGAGAAAUCACGCGCUCGGCACGGAGACGUGACACGGCCCUGAGCCCAUGCCCCCUCCUCCCGGGUGCGG